rnacentral:sRNA from 1 species
UCUAAUAGGAGGUCAAAGAGCUGAGGAGAUCAAUGCAUUGUGUGACCCAU